rnacentral:misc_RNA from 1 species
GAAAUAAAAUAAAUACACAAAAUAAUAAUAUUUACCUGAUUCACCCUUUUCACAUAGUGUUAUAUCCAUAGGCAUGCCAUCUUCCACUAUCAACAAUAAAUAAUUAAUUCCAAACUCAAACUAUACUACCCAUAAAUCCAAUUAUAUCCAAGAGAACCCACACUACAGUAAAUAUAUUAGUUAUUCCCUCUCAGUCUCCUCUAAAUAUAACAUAAUAUAUUUAUUAUUUUAACUGCUACACCACAAAGGGUAUUUUUAACUACAUGGGCAAGAGCCUUCUCAUCAAUAGACAAGAAUUUCUUCCUCUUGAAUUCUAUGCCCUCUCUCCACCUUAGGCCAAAGUCUCUUUCCCUCCAUGGGGCUACAAUGGGCAGGAGCCCCUCAUCAAUGGGCAAAACCACUCUUCAUGGGCAAAGCCACUCUCUUCAAUAGGCAAAGCUGCUCCCUAUGGGUGAAGCCAAAUAACCUUUCCACUAUUAUCUAUUUAUAGUGUAAAUUUCCUCAAUUCUAAUCUGAUUAGGAAUCCCACUCAAUUUUAGAAUAACACUAAAACAAGAGUUCUAGUCAAUAUAAGAAAUAUUUCUCCAUCCUAUUGAGGAAUAUUUCUUCUACUGAAAUUAGAAAAAGAUCUCUCCAAAUUUUACUAGGAUUUUGAAUCAUAAUUUUAACAUAUUCAAAGCUCGUGUUAAUCAUGUAUUCAAAGAAGAAAAGAAGUUAAAACUCUAUUCUUUAGGUAUAAAUAGAAAUAUAAGUAAUCAACUGUACACAGGACACGUGAAAUGAAAGGCCAACACAAGAUGUUACUCAUCAUCCUUGUAUGGGUUCUCUUCUGGAACUUGCUUUAGAAGUUUCACCUGC